GACGAACGCUGGCGGCGUGCUUAACACAUGCAAGUCGAACGGAGAGGCCCUGCUUUUGUGGGGUGCUCGAGUGGCGAACGGGUGAGUAACACGUGAGUAACCUGCCCUUGACUUUGGGAUAACUUCAGGAAACUGGGGCUAAUACCGGAUAGGAGCUCCUGCUGCAUGGUGGGGGUUGGAAAGUUUCGGCGGUUGGGGAUGGACUCGCGGCUUAUCAGCUUGUUGGUGGGGUAGUGGCUUACCAAGGCUUUGACGGGUAGCCGGCCUGCGAGGGUGACCGGCGACAUUGGGACUGAGCUACGGCCCAGACUCGUACGGGAGGCAGCAGUGGGGAAUAUUGCACAAUGGGCGGAAGCCUGAUGCAGCAACGCCGCGUGCGGGAUGACGGCCUUCGGGUUGUAAACCGCUUUCGCCUGUGACGAAGCGUGAGUGACGGUAAUGGGUAAAGAAGCACCGGCUAACUACGUG
rnacentral:rRNA from 1 species